CCUACGGGUGGCAGCAGUGAGGAAUAUUGGUCAAUGGGCGCGAGCCUGAACCAGCCAAGUCGCGUGAGGGAAGACGGUCCUAUGGAUUGUAAACCUCUUUUGUCGGGGAGCAAAAGACGCCACGCGUGGCGUUCCGAGUGUACCUGAAGAAAAAGCAUCGGCUAACUCCGUGCCAGCAGCCGCGGUAAUACGGAGGAUGCGAGCGUUAUCCGGAUUUAUUGGGUUUAAAGGGUGCGCAGGCGGUCUGUUAAGUCAGCGGUAAAAGCACGGGGCUCAACCCCGGCCCGCCGUUGAAACUGGGUGUCUUGAGUGGGAGAGAAGUAUGCGGAAUGCGUGGGGUAGCGGUGAAAUGCAUAGAUAUCGCGCAGAACUCCGAUUGCGAAGGCAGCAUGCCGGCUCCACACUGACGCUGAGGCACGAAAGCGUGGGUAUCGAACAGGAUUAGAUACCCUAGUAGUC
rnacentral:rRNA from 1 species